rnacentral:rRNA from 1 species
GUAGGUGGCAAGCGUUGUCCGGAAUUAUUGGGCUUAAAGCGCGCGCAGGCGGUUCUUUAAGUCUGAUGUGAAAGCCCACGGCUCAACCGUGGAGGGUCAUUGGAAACUGGAGAACUUGAGUACAGAAGAGGAAAGCGGAAUUCCACGUGUAGCGGUGAAAUGCGUAGAGAUGUGGAGGAACACCAGUGGCGAAGGCGGCUUUCUGGUCUGUAACUGACGCUGAGGCGCGAAAGCGUGGGGAGCAAACAGGGAUUAGAUACCCUGGUAGUCCACGCCGUAAACGAUGAGUGCUAAGUGUUAGGGGGUUUCCGCCCCCUUAGUGCUGCAGCUAACGCAUUAAGCACUCCGCCUGGGGAUACGGCCGCAAGGCUG